rnacentral:rRNA from 1 species
AACGAACGCUGGCGGCAUGCCUAAUACAUGCCAGUCGAACGGGAACAUCUUUCUGGCUUGCUCUCGUGGCGGUCGGGUGAGGAACGCGUGGAUAAUCUGCCUUAGAGCUGCCGAUAACUAGUCGAAAGAUUAGCUAAUACCGCAUAAGACCACGAUAGCUGCGUUUUUUGGGGUCAUAGGUUUUUGCCUCUAAUUUGAGUCUGCGUGAGAUUACCUAGUUGGUGGUUUAACGGCUCAUAAAGGCGACGAAGUUUAACUGGUCUGAGAGGAUGAUAAGCCACACCGAAACUGCUACACGGGGCAGAAGCCUACGGGAGGAAGCAGUAGGGAAGAUUGUACAACGGAGGAGAAUCGGAUGAGGCGACGCCGCGUGGGGGAUGAAGGCCUUCGGGUCGUAAAACUCUGUCGCAGGGGAAUAACAUAAUGAAGGUACCGUGUGAGAAAGGAUCGGCUAACUCCGUG